rnacentral:rRNA from 1 species
UACGUAGGGUGCUAGCGUUGUCCGGAUUUAUUGGGCGUAAAGAGCUCGUAGGCGGUCUGGUAAGUUGGAUGUGAAAUCUCCAGGCUCAACUUGGAGGGGUCAUUCGAUACUGCCAUGACUAGAGUUCGGUAGGGGAGUGUGGAAUUCCUGGUGGAGCGGUGAAAUGCGCAGAUAUCAGGAGGAACACCCGUAGCGAAGGCGGCACUCUGGGCCGGAACUGACGCUGAGGAGCGAAAGCGUGGGGAGCGAACAGG